rnacentral:rRNA from 1 species
GUCGAGCGGUAGAGAGGUGCUUGCACCUCUUGAGAGCGGCGGACGGGUGAGUAAAGCCUAGGAAUCUGCCUGGUAGUGGGGGAUAACGCUCGGAAACGGACGCUAAUACCGCAUACGUCCUACGGGAGAAAGCAGGGGACCUUCGGGCCUUGCGCUAUCAGAUGAGCCUAGGUCGGAUUAGCUAGUUGGUGAGGUAAUGGCUCACCAAGGCGACGAUCCGUAACUGGUCUGAGAGGAUGAUCAGUCACACUGGAACUGAGACACGGUCCAGACUCCUACGGGAGGCAGCAGUGGGGAAUAUUGGACAAUGGGCGAAAGCCUGAUCCAGCCAUGCCGCGUGUGUGAAGAAGGUCUUCGGAUUGUAAAGCACUUUAAGUUGGGAGGAAGGGCAUUAACCUAAUACGUUAGUGUUUUGACGUUACCGACAGAAUAAGCACCGGCUAACUCUGUGCCAGCAGCCGCGGUAAUACAGAGGGUGCAAGCGUUAAUCGGAAUUACUGGGCGUAAAGCGCGCGUAGGUGGUUCGUUAAGUUGGAUGUGAAAUCCCCGGGCUCAACCUGGGAACUGCAUUCAAAACUGUCGAGCUAGAGUAUGGUAGAGGGUGGUGGAAUUUCCUGUGUAGCGGUGAAAUGC